CAGUCGCCGCGGUAAUACAGAGGGUGCGAGCGUUAAUCGGAUUUACUGGGCGUAAAGCGUGCGUAGGCGGCUUUUUAAGUCGGAUGUGAAAUCCCUGAGCUUAACUUAGGAAUUGCAUUCGAUACUGGGAAGCUAGAGUAUGGGAGAGGAUGGUAGAAUUCCAGGUGUAGCGGUGAAAUGCGUAGAGAUCUGGAGGAAUACCGAUGGCGAAAGCACUCUGCUGGGCCGACACUGACACUGAGAGACGAAAGCUAGGGGAGCAAAUGGGAUUAGAUACCCCGGUAGUCCCUGUCUCUUAUAA
rnacentral:rRNA from 1 species